rnacentral:rRNA from 1 species
UACGAGGGGGGCGAGCGUUGUUCGGAAUUAUUGGGCGUAAAGGGUGCGUAGGCGGUUUGGUAAGUCUUAUGUGAAAUCUACAGGCUCAACUUGUAGUCUGCAUGAGAAACUGCCGGGCUUGAGUAUGGGAGAGGUGAGUGGAAUUCCUGGUGUAACGGUGAAAUGUGUUGAUAUCAGGAGGAACACCCAUGGCGAAGGCAGUAGACUGGGCAUCUCCUGACGCUGAGGCGCGAAAGCGUGGGUAGCAAACAGG